GACGAACGCUGGCGGCGUGCUUAACACAUGCAAGUCGAACGGAGUGGCGAACGGGUGAGUAACACGUUGGUGACCUGCACUGCACUUCUGGAUAAGCCUGGGAAACUGGGUCUAAUACCCGAUAGUGUGGGAUGGGCCCGCGGCCUAUCAGCUUGUUGGUGGGGUACUGGCCUACCAAGGCGGGGACGGGUAGCCGGCCUGGUAGGGUGGACGGCCACAUUGGUACUGAGACACGGCCCAGACUCAUACGGGAGGCAGCAGUGGGGAAGAUUGCACAAUGGGCGGAAGCAUGAUGCAGCGACGCCGGGUGGGGGAUGACGGCCUUCGGGUUGUAAACUCCUUUCGCCAUCGACUCGGUAGAUGGAGAAGAAGCACCGGCUAACUACGUGCCAGCAGCCGCGGUAAUAC
rnacentral:rRNA from 1 species